rnacentral:lncRNA from 1 species
AUACAAGUGUGACCCUCAUGGGGAAUAUGUGCGGCGGUGGCUUCCUGAACUGUCUAGGCUUCCCACUGAAUGGAUACACCACCCGUGGAAUGCACCAGAAUCUGUACUUGAAGCUGCUGGCAUUGAGCUGGGUUCCAAUUAUCCUCUUCCCAUCGUCGAAAUUGAUGCAGCAAAAGUAAGACUAGAACAAGCCCUAUCACAAAUGUGGCAGCACGAAGCAGCUUCACGAGCUGCGAUUGAGAAUGGUAUGGAAGAAGGACACGGUGACUCUGCUGACUCCCCAAUAGCAUUCCCUCAGGCCAUGCAUAUGGAAAUGGAUCACGAACCAGUUAGGAACAAUAACCCCGUUAUAGUUACUGUUCGACGCUAUGAAGAUCAGAUGGUCCCAAGCAUGACAUCGUCUUUGUUCAGAGUUGAUGAUGAAGAAACCUCAGUGAAUAUCAGAAAUUCAGUGGUGGACACUAGAGCAGAAGUUCCGAACGACGUCAAUGUAACUGAAGGUCCUAGGAGAGACACACUCGACCAAGCCGUCACACAACGAGCUCGAACAAACGCCACUCCGCCGCAGUUUAAUUUUGUGGUUGGUAGGAGAAAUUC